GAUGAACGCUAGCGACAGGCUUAACACAUGCAAGUCGAGGGGCAGCAUAAAAGUAGCAAUACUUUGGUGGCGACCGGCGCACGGGUGAGUAACGCGUAUGCAACCUACCUAUCAGAGGGGAAUAACCCGGCGAAAGUCGGACUAAUACCGCAUAAAACAGGGCACCGCAUGGUGAUAUUUGUUAAAGAAAUUCGCUGAUAGAUGGGCAUGCGUUCCAUUAGGUAGUUGGUGAGGUAACGGCUCACCAAGCCGACGAUGGAUAGGGGAACUGAGAGGUUGGUCCCCCACACUGGUACUGAGACACGGACCAGACUCCUACGGGGAGGCAGCAGUGAGGAAUAUUGGUCAAUGGGCGGGAGCCUGAACCAGCCAAGUCGCGUGAAGGAAGAAGGAUCUAUGGUUCGUAAACUUCUUUUGCAGGGGAAUAAAGUGCAGGACGUGUCCUGUUUGUAUGUACCCUGAGAAUAAGGAUCGGCUAACUCCGUGCCAGCAGCCGCGGUAAAACGU
rnacentral:rRNA from 1 species